UUUCCGUAGGUGAACCUGCGGAAGGAUCAUUAAGAAUUGAUAAUAUUUGUGAAAUUUACACAGCAAACAAUAAUUUUAUAAUCAAAACAAAAAUAAUCAAAACUUUUAACAAUGGAUCUCUUGGUUCUCGUAUCGAUGAAGAACGCAGCGAAACGCGAUAUUUCUUGUGAAUUGCAGAAGUGAAUCAUCAGUUUUUGAACGCACAUUGCACUUUGGGGUAUCCCCCAAAGUAUACUUGUUUGAGCGUUGUUUCUCUCUUGGAAUUGCAUUGCUUUUCUAAAAUUUCGAAUCAAAUUCGUUUGAAAAACAACACUAUUCAACCUCAGAUCAAGUAGGAUUACCCGCUGAACUUAAGCAUA
rnacentral:misc_RNA from 1 species